rnacentral:rRNA from 1 species
AUUGAACGCUGGCGGCAGGCCUAAUACAUGCAAGUCGAACGAGUGGCGGACGGGUGAGUAAUGUCUGGGAAACUGCCUGAUGGAGCGGGAUAAGUACUGGAAACGGUAGAUAAUACCGCAUAACAUCAUAUGUGCUCUGAUGGGAGUAGCUUGUUGGUGGGGUAACGGCUCACCAAGGCGACGAUCCAUAGCUGGUCUGAGAGGCUGACCAGCCACACUGGAACUGAGACACGGUCCAGACUCCUACGGGAGGCAGCAGUAGGGAAUAUUGCGCAAUGGGCGCAAGCCUGAUGCAGCCAUGCCGCGUGUAUGAAGAAGGCCUUCGGGUUGUAAAGUACUUUCGGCAGGGAGGCGUUACCCACAGAGAAAGCACCGGCUAACUCCGUGCCAGCAGCCGCGGUAAUAC